AUAAAAUAAACAAUAAACAGUAAACAUACCGAGAGAUUAUUUAGACAUAGCACAGUAAUAACACCCCAAGAGUGAUAAAAUGAGCGCGAUGGUCAUGCAAAUCCUGUACAUUAGUAAAGGACAUCCACGCAAUUUCAUUCUGGACCUUUUUUCCGUGAAUGUUUACUAUAAAUGAAUCCGUCUGAUGUGAAAAUUGACUGGAUUCAUGUAGCCAGCUUUCGGUUGCAUCUCUAUGUUCAUGGCUUGAAAACAAGCGUUAUGAAAGUCACACACAUUUUUGCAUAAAACAGGGUAACUAUAUCGUAAAUACAGCAGCAACAGCCUAUAGGACGCAAUGAGUAGAUCUACCAUUGCAUUAUAUGACAUUAUUAUAUAUUUAAAACUACUACAUUAACGGUAGUACUGAAAUCUGAACCGUGACAGACACUGACUGUUUACAUGUGAAACACACAGACACCAUGCAAGGCUGGUUGACUAGCCCAGGGCAGGGUGGAUAUAUUCAAUUUUAAAUCGAAGAAAAACAUGUAAUUAAACGUUUCGAAUGAUGAUUAAGAGACUUGUCCACCAUGGCGGCAUCGGGCCAGGAGAGCGGCUGUCUGUCCGGUGACAGGCGAGCGGGCGCGACCGCGACCCAGGCGGCCUAGGCAGCACAGGUUUGUACCUUAGCCUUAAGACCCAUGCCACUUGGAAUAGGGUAUACAGACCCCCGGCCGUCAAACCGGACCAGGAUAAGGAUAUAUGUAAAAACAGCCCAGCAAAAUGAAGCGCUCCGAAGGACCCCGCAGAACCACAGCGAAGAGGAGCCAUGGCGGCCAGUGUGUUCUCCCCUUGACAGGUAUCCUGUGUGGCCUGACAGCUCUGUAUUCCAGUGACACAUGCGGAGCUGCCGCGAGACCCCUGUUCAUUCAGCCUUGGAGCGCGCCGUGGGCUGGUAUCUCAAGGUCAAGUGUGGGAAAAAAGGAACUCAGCAACUCCAGAU